rnacentral:lncRNA from 1 species
GAAUAGAAAGGAUUGGACUUUCGAUGUCAUAUUUUGGUCGAUUAAGUUUAUUUUUGUAUUUUCAUUUUUUUUUUGAGAAAUUGUGAUUGUCCAAUUUCAGAUGAUAUAAAGAAAGGGAGAUUAGUGGAGUUAUGUUUUUUCGUUAGUGCUUCUCCGUCAAUCAAUAAAAAAUUUAAGAAAAUAUAAAUAAAAUGAAAUUCAACAAAUUUUUAUGUGACUAGGUUGCAUCUAAA